rnacentral:sRNA from 1 species
GAAAUAGAAGAUUAUCGUUUGCUGACAGAUAUUUUGGGAAUUGAAGAUUACAAUGGUGACAUGGACUUCAAAAUAGCUGGCACUAAUAAAGGAAUAACUGCAUUACAGGCUGAUAUUAAAUUACCUGGAAUACCAAUAAAAAUUGUAAUGGAGGCUAUUCAACAAGCUUCAGUGGCAAAAAAGGAGAUAUUACAGAUCAUGAACAAAACUAUUUCAAAACCUCGAGCAUCUAGAAAAGAAAAUGGACCUGUUGUAGGUAAUACAUUAAAAUUUUAGUGAUCGGCUGGGCGCGGUGGCUCACGCCUGUAAUCCCAGCACUUUGGGAGGCCGAGGUGAGCGGAUCACAAGGUCAGGAGAUCGAGACCAUCCUGGCUAACACGGUGAAACCCUGUCUCUACUAAAAAAUACAAAAAAUUAGCCGGGCGUGGUGGCGGGCGCCUGUAGUCCCAGCUACUCGGGAGGCUGAGGCAAGAGAAUGGCGUGAACCCGGGAGGCGGAGCUUGCAGUGAGCCGAGAUCGCGCCACUGCACUCCAGCCUGGGGGACAAAGUGAGACUCCAUCUCAAAAAAAAAAAAAAAAUUUUAGUGAUCAUGGUAAGAUAAACAUUAAUAUAUGAAUGAAUAUUACUGCUUUUAAAUUGUUUUUACCCAGUGCACAAAACGAAAAUAUUUUAAAUAUUUUUGUAGUUAAAAUGCUUUAAAUUUUAGGGAAUAUUCUUUAACAGUUUUCAGUAAUUUUAAUCAUCUACUUUUCUGUUUUAUAGUAAAAUAUUUUUACAUGUGUCUAGGUCAAAAAAAAAAAUCUCAAGUGACCAUGGCAUGUUUUAGGUUCAUGUACGUAGUUGAAUUGUUUAUAUAUUUGUCUGUAUUACGUUCCAGAAACUGUUCAGGUUCCAUUAUCAAAACGAGCAAAAUUUGUUGGACCUGGUGGCUAUAACUUAAAAAAACUUCAGGCUGAAACAGGUGUAACUAUUAGUCAGGUGGAUGAAGAAACGUUUUCUGUAUUUGCACCAACACCCAGUGCUAUGCAUGAGGCAAGAGACUUCAUUACUGAAAUCUGCAAGGAUGAUCAGGAGCAGCAAUUAGAAUUUGGAGCAGUGUAUACCGCCACAAUAACUGAAAUCAGAGAUACUGGUGUAAUGGUAAAAUUAUAUCCAAAUAUGACUGCGGUACUGCUUCAUAACACACAACUUGAUCAACGAAAGAUUAAACAUCCUACUGCCCUAGGAUUAGAAGUUGGCCAAGAAAUUCAGGUGAAAUACUUUGGACGUGACCC